CUGGCGGCAGGCCUAACACAUGCAAGUCGAACGGUAACAUUUCUAGCUUGCUAGAAGAUGACGAGUGGCGGACGGGUGAGUAAUGCUUGGGAACUUGCCUUUGCGAGGGGGAUAACAGUUGGAAACGACUGCUAAUACCGCAUAAUGUCUUCGGACCAAACGGGGCUUCGGCUCCGGCGCAAAGAGAGGCCCAAGUGAGAUUAGCUAGUUGGUAAGGUAACGGCUUACCAAGGCGACGAUCUCUAGCUGUUCUGAGAGGAAGAUCAGCCACACUGGGACUGAGACACGGCCCAGACUCCUACGGGAGGCAGCAGUGGGGAAUAUUGCACAAUGGGGGAAACCCUGAUGCAGCCAUGCCGCGUGUGUGAAGAAGGCCUUCGGGUUGUAAAGCACUUUCAGUUGUGAGGAAAAGUUAGUAGUUAAUACCUGCUAGCCGUGACGUUAACAACAGAAGAAGCACCGGCUAACUCCGUGCCAGCAGCCGCGGUAAUACGGAGGGUGCGAGCGUUAAUCGGAAUUACUGGGCGUAAAGCGCACGCAG
rnacentral:rRNA from 1 species